AUUGAACGCUGGCGGCAGGCCUAACACAUGCAAGUCGAGCGAGUGGCGGACGGGUGAGUAAUGUAUGGGGAACUGCCCGAUGGAGGGGGAUAACUACUGGAAACGGUAGCUAAUACCGCAUACUAUCGGAUGUGCCCAUAUGGGAUUAGCUUGUAGGUGAGGUAACGGCUUACCUAGGCGACGAUCCCUAGCUGGUCUGAGAGGAUGACCAGCCACACUGGGACUGAGACACGGCCCAGACUCCUACGGGAGGCAGCAGUGGGGAAUAUUGCACAAUGGGCGCAAGCCUGAUGCAGCCAUGCCGCGUGUAUGAAGAAGGCCUUAGGGUUGUAAAGUACUUUCAGUGGGGAGGCGUUACCGACAGAAGAAGCACCGGCUAACUCCGUGCCAGCAGCCGCGGUAAUUC
rnacentral:rRNA from 1 species